rnacentral:rRNA from 1 species
UACGGAGGGUGCAAGCGUUAUCCGGAUUCACUGGGUUUAAAGGGUGCGUAGGCGGGCAGGUAAGUCAGAGGUGAAAUCUCCGGGCUUAACCCGGAAACUGCCUUUGAUACUAUCUGUCUUGAAUAUGGUGGAGGUAAGCGGAAUAUGUCAUGUAGCGGUGAAAUGCUUAGAGAUGACAUAGAACACCCAUUGCGAAGGCAGCUUACUACGCCUAUAUUGACGCUGAGGCACGAAAGCGUGGGGAGCGAUCCGG